rnacentral:rRNA from 1 species
AAUGGGCGAAAGCCUGACGCAGCGACGCCGCGUGGGUGACGAAGGCCUUCGGGUUGUAAAGCCCUGUGGGGAGGAACGAACCGUCCGGGGGCCAAUACCCUCCGGGCCUGACGGUACCUCUUUAGCAAGCAUCGGCUAACUCUGUGCCAGCAGCCGCGGUAAGACAGAGGAUGCGAACGUUGCUCGGAAUUACUGGGCGUAAAGCGCGCGUAGGUGGCCUUGUAAGUCUCGUGUGAAAGCCCUCUGCUCAACGGAGGAAGUGCACGGGAUACUGCGAGGCUGGAGUACAGAAGAGGACAGCGGAAUUCCCGGUGUAGAGGUGAAAUUCGUAGAUAUCGGGAGGAACACCAGUGGCGAAGGCGGCUGUCUGGGCUGAUACUGACACUGAGGCGCGAAAGCGUGGGAAGCAAA